rnacentral:lncRNA from 1 species
CCCCCAAAGCCUCUGUCGUUCUAACAUAAUCAAACCCUCUUGAAUCGUAAACACAGAAACCACUUCGCAUUGAUCUCAGGACGUUGUGUUCUUCCAUGUACAUGGUUGUAUAAUUGGAACGACUUCCUACAGGUAAAAGCGAAAACUUCAAACUCUAAAAUCCUUUUUCACUGUAAUUUCUUCUCUGAUUAUGCUUUUAAGCCUUUUUACAACAGAUGCGACUGAUAGAUUCUAGAUAAAAGCAUAAACUACAAACUGAACUUACCUGAUGAUGUUUGAGCAAAGGGAAUUAGGCCAGACCGACCCAGAAUACUGUACAUGAGAUUUAUAAGCGAGCUCUUGCCAGAACCGGAG